ensembl:lncRNA
CCCGGAAAGGUGCAUCAGAUCCAGUCCAGUGGUCGAAGCAGUGCCAGCAGGCGUUUGAGAAGGUAAAGCAUGCUCUCUGUGGGGAACCACUCCUUCAUACUCCUAACUUCUCUCUCCCCUUUAUUCUGCAGACAGACGCGUCGAACAGGGGGCCAUUUUGUCACAGGAGGUGGGGGGUGUGGCCCGCCCCGUGGUGUACAUCAGCAGGAAGCUGUCCGAGAGGGAGGCCAGGUACAACACAGUGGAAAAGCAGUGCCUGGCCAUCCGGUGGGCGGUCGACUCCCUACGCUACUACCUCCUGGGACGCUCAUUCACCCUCUGUUCGGACCAUGCCCCGCUCCAAUGGCUCCACCGCAUGAAAGAUGCCAACGCCCGGAUCACUCGGUGGUAUCUGGCUCUACAGCCUUUUAAUUUCAAGGUGGUCAAUAGGCCGGGGGCGCAGAUGCACUGCAUGAAAAGUGAGAUUUUCAUCCCCGUAAACGCCCGGAAAUCUCCCUAAUUUCCGACAAUUUGCAACCCGCGCACGGCGCGUUUGUCUGUGCCACAAAUUGUCGGAAACGAACCAUGACGUAGGUGCAGAGCUGGCGGAGGUGCGAAUGGCCCGAAUUAGCAUAUGAAUGCAGCAAAACCGCGGGUGGCCGAGCGGGCUUCAAUAUCUUUACUCCUUAUUGGAUGAAACCACAACUUACUAACAAAUAGAAUCACUCGUGAUUGGCAGCAAAACCCCACCUGGGCAGACCAGGCUUGAGUUUCCUUGUUCAUGAUUGGAUGAAACCACAACUUUCAAUCACUCGUGAUUGGUUGGCAGAUCUGUCGCUAUUGGUCACCCGCCUCAUUUUAUUUAUAUAUUCAUAUUAUGCUGUAUAUUCAUUUCAUGGUUAUCCUAUGUAGGCUACUACACUGUUAUUAGGAUACCAACCAGGACAUCAAUGAAUUUAUAGAGAAAAUGAACAUUUGCCACAUGUAUAUGCAAAGAAAGAGCUUUAUUAACAACACACAAUCAACAACUACAUACAAAGUGAGGAUCUGCCCACACUUGGGUAAAGGCGGUUUAAAAAACUACAGCUCAGUAAACUGUCCGUUUGCCUCCUCGGGGUUGUUGACCGUCACUUGCGCCGUGUUUUCCGAGGCAGGUCUGUUGUGCAGGCGCCUAGUGUGUGUGGCUCUGUAUUUCUGAGUCGCCUCUAACCGGGACUGACUCAGAAAUUGCGGCGACCGUACAAUCCACCCCGAGACACCGCCAACAACGCCAUCCUCUCCGUCCGACGUGAGCUCUACGCUGUAAAAACAACAAUGAAUCAGUACUGUGCGAUGCGUAUGGACACAACACAUCUAUCAAUGCACCUGAAAAAAAGUCAGCUAAUAAACUCUGACCCUCUUUCUUCUCGCUUGACUCCGCGCUGAAUCCUUCGCAGCUUCCGCCCGCAAUGAGUGUUCCGGCUGAACCUGAAGCUCCUGCGUCCCGUCUCAAAAUACGUCUUACAGGCGGCUGGAAAACAAUUAAAUGAGUGUGGUUUGAAUACAAAAAAAAUCAAACGCAAGUCACAGUAACAUUUAACAAGGAAGGAGAAACAGUAAACGGUGUCACUUACACACAAUGACGUCGUCUAAAUCUGGACUUUUCCCGGAGCAAAUACAAGGUCACCGCCUCAUUAUGAGGCGAGAUUAGUCUGUGAAAACAAAAUGUACAGUUAUGAUCGGUAUCCAUACGUAUAUAUUUCCUUAUACCGCAGAAUGAAAGCAUAUUCUUUAAAUCUGACCCUU